CUCAGGUUCUCAGAGACCAGAAGACUCUUGGCAUCCCCCUGCAGCUCGGUGAAGAGGAUCUCCCUCUCGGCCGCGUUGGACGCCAUUGCGCUGGGGUUUGAAGUCCGCACCUGGACGCUGCCGCCGCCGCCGCCGGGGAGGGGAGCGAGGGAGGCGGGUCCGGGGCCGGGACUAAGGGCGCAUCGGGGGCGGGGGGAGCGCUCGGCACUGAGGCAGGGGGACGCGGGAGGGGCCGCCGCCGCCCCCCUACCGCUCAUGGGGGUCGCGCCGGGCGCUGGGCCGCGGUGCGGUGCGAUGCCGCCGUGCGCUCCCCCGCCCUGUCGCGGCGCUCGGCCCUGGCAGCGCUCGGCCGCCGCGGCUGCUGCUCCUGCGGCCGCCGCGGAUGUCGCACCAUUUGGCUGUCACCCUGUCGCAAAAGCGGCGCUGCUUUGCGGCACCCGGAGCACGUGACAGUUGGAGGGAAGGGCGGGGGGGGAAUGCGGGGGCGGAGGGGUGCCGGCUGCUGCCAGUGAACCUCUGCUCCCUUGCAGGCAGAGCGGCGCGCUCCGCUCAGCGGCGCUCCACACAGCAGCGCUCCCCUCAGCCCCCGGCUUCCCGCCGCCUCCCUCCUGCGUUUCCUCCUCCCGUGAAUCUCCGGUUCCCAGAGUCCCGUUGUUUCCCUCAGCGAUGGCUGGGGGAGGACGGCGCGUGGCAAACCCCUGAUGCUGAGGGUCUCUGGGGCUCGGCCAGCCGCUGCUGAGGGCAGCUGAAACCCCCCGGCCGCUUGUAGCUGGCCCGAGCCCGGCUGCCUCGCGGCCGCAGGGAAGGCAUCCACGCGCCACCCUGGGACCGGGAGCGGCGGGCCGGCAGGUUACGGCGAGCGGGGGCGGCGAACGCGGUUCCCCGAAGCGUAAAAGGGCUGAGCGACAGCGUGCGGGUGCCGGGUGAGUUCGGGGGCCGGCAGUGCCCGCUGAGUCCCCAGAGAGCUCUGAGAGCUUCGAGGGCAACGCCUGUGAGGAAGUGGUGCCUCUUCCCUCGGCGGCACGCGGCACCCGCUUUGAUUCUCGGUUUCCUGCCUGCGUGUUGUUCCACCUGUUCAUAAACGCUUUUGCUGCCUGUUCUGUACACACACGUGCAUUCGCAUUCCACCCUCAUUUCAGACGUUACGGUAGGCUAAUUGAGCUCAUGCAAAACGCUACGUGGAGGUAAUUAAAACUGUUUUUUUCCUAUGCCGUUCCUGCCAGGCUUGUACAAGUUGAGGUAUUUUCGAUAGGUACAUCUUCAUGCAAGUGUUUGUGCUUGCUGCACUCAUUUCAGUGCAUUGCUGUGUGGCUGCAGGCCCAUCAUAGUCUGUUUGCUGUAGAACUGCAGGUUCAAUUACAGAGGGCACUUUGUGGAGGGAAAAACAGAACAGAAGUCAUCAAAAAGAAGCAAACAAUUUACUACAAGCAAAUCUGAAACAUUCUGUGUUCUUACGCUUCCACUGAGCACCAGACAAACUCAACCACCUCAAGUGCUGCCUGUCAUGCAGUGCAGGAGAAGCCUAUGGAUGUCUUCAUGAGUUAGUUUUACAUAAAAGCAAAAUUAAGAUAUUUCUGCCCUCACAGUGCACUUCUAUACACAAGUGAGAUAUUUUCCACUAUGUUAAGAUUUUUCAUAAGCUUGCACACGUACAGAUCUCCAUGCAGACUUAGUUCACUGGAAGCCAAUGGCUUUAAUUUCUGUUUUGUGUGGCCAGGCAAUUGUAGGCUGGAAUGAAGAGCAGAAAGUAGAGAAGAGGAAAACUUUACCUGCCAGUUGUCCAACAGUCAUAGACAAAGAAUACUGAAAACAUUCAUAAAUCAGGGAAAAGAGUUUUAAAGCAGUGUCACACUGGUCUUCCUCACUGCUUGCUGUCAUGUACAUCAAGUGUCACAGGUGAAGAUACACCAUCCCAGGCUAAAUUGGGAAUUGUCUCAGUAAUGGGGUUAGCACUUGAAUAAAAGCGUAGAGGUGUGUGCCUUCUGCGAUGAAUGGAAAUUACUCACAUGCAGUUUGGGUUCUUGAGUUAUUUUUUACUUACAUUGCAGUUUCAAUCUACAGAAGGAAUUCUAACUCAGAAAGUCAUGUAGGUCAUAUUUCUGACUCUUGGCACCACAAACAUCUUUAUGUAGUCAAGACCCUCAAGGUACAUUACUCAAAUCUUAGGUAUAAAGAAGAAUUUCAGAAGUUGUUCAUACAGCACAAUUGUGAGAAAGGCUAUGUGGGACAGUCCUACUUAUUCUACGUUCACCAUACAUUCAUGUUUUUUUUUUUUUUUUUUGGAAAUACCAUAACCAGUGUUUCAGUUAUCCAGUGAAAUCUGUGCUAGCAUAGCUUUGUUGUAACUCAUAUGAAGUGGUCAUAAGUUGGCAGGCAGAAGUCAAAAAGCUUGGUGAAGUUUUGGGUGCAUUGUGGAACAAGGUGGGGGAGUAAGGAAAGACAAUUAUACAAUAAUUUAAUCUUUUAGAGCAUGCUAGAAUGAUGCCAAACUUUAGAUUUUUUUUUUUUGAGAACAAGUGUUUGAAGAUGUAUACAAGUAAUCAGAAAUUACUGUAUGUUAGUCACUUCAUAUACAUGGUCCCUUACUGCUGCUCAUCUACUGGCCUGCUGCUAUUGCAGAGGAAGAGGAAAAGUCUAUGUGUGUGCUUUGUAAGGUGUGGUCAGAAGGAAACAGAAAACCCAGAGAAAACUUGUAGCUGUAUGAGCAGGUGUCAACAGUUAGCUGAACUCUGAAACAGGCAGCUGAUUUAAUUCAUACUCAACCUAGACUAACCAUUGAGUGAAGGCUACACAUAGGCCCUGUCUUGACAGGGAUAACUAUAAGCUUUUUUGUAUUCCCUGUGUAAUUUAUACAACUUGUAAGGACAAGGUCCUGGAUUCUUUGAUAGAAGCGUAUUGGUACAAGAAUUGAAAAACAAAACAUUGUUAGCUACAUCUCUGAUAGUUAAAUCAUUCUUCCUCCAGAUUCUGGAAAAUACAAGGCAGUGCUGGACAACUGUAGCUCUACAUUUAAGUACUCUGACAGUGAAUUACUGAGCAAGAGAGAACAUUCCAAGUGAGUCUCAAAAUAGAAAGCAGCUAAGUACGUAAGUCCAUGAAUUUAGCAUUAUAUGGAAUCCUGAGUUCAGCCCUUGCCUUAAGAUGUCUGAAUGCUUUUUCUUCAGCACUUAUUCUGUUGGAUCAUCCCUUCAAUUAUCAUGCUGGAAAAGCAAAACAAAUAGAAGGGAUGACAGUACCCCUGACUAAAUUACAUUUGAUUAUUAUUUUUUUCUUCAGGUUGUUUAUUAAAACCUUUGUCCUAAAGAGCUGGAAGAGUAAAUUGCUGUGACUUCCAAUAUUUUAUGUAUUACAAAGUGUAAUGCUAUAAUGGAGUGGAAAGUACUGCAAUAAUAGCAGGGUGGCAAAAUCUUUGGCUGCAACAAAUAAGAACAAGCCCGAACACAGCAGCUGCAGAAAUGAAGGAAAAGAGCUACUUACCUUUGGAGGGCCUCAAGUAAGCAUAGAUCUCCAGCAAGAGAUGCCCUCACCUCCACUGCCAACCCUUAAAUGAGGUCUGGGAAGGAGUGGAUCCUGGCUCCAAUCCUUCUGGUCACUCAGGGGCAUUACAUUCACCUGAGCUCCCCUGGGUCGGCACUGCCUUCCCACCAGGUGCUCAAUCACUGGUUCAGGCCCUGACUUAGCAUUUCCACUACACAAGUGUACCUUAUGAAUCCUUGGGCAUAUUACAGAACUCAUUAGCAAAAUAUUAAGGAUUUUGUAAGCAAAAUGCAAGAUAUUUUUUAGACUAGGUUUAAUCAGUCCUUUAUAUAAUGAAAGGGAGAGCCUGAUUUCACUGAGUGAUGCAUGCAGAAAUUAGGAUGGAAGGUAUGUGAAGAGCAGCAGACACAUCUAAUCAUUGUACUGUUAUACUUCUUGACAUCAAGAUAUUACCAGGAAAAAAAGUUUUUCUUUAAGCUUCUGUUUAGUUUUGCCUGUUUAAAUUAGUGAUGUAUUCUAGAGGGACAACAGCGUAUAAAUGUGAUUGGUGUGGAUAACAUGAGGGAAGAAAUGAGAUCCACCUGUUAGUAGGUGAGUGAGGGUACAGCAGUUUUAGCCCAGCCCCAAAAUUUUUAGGCACAAAAUAAGAUGUAGAAAUUAAUGAACUUUUUUUGAUAGGGGAAAGAUGAAUUAGGUUUGCAAGCAAUAUCGAUAUCUGUUAAAGAAAAUCCUUUUCCCUCUCUUUUUUUUCCACUCUUCACCUGCAAUGUGAGAGUACAAGUCUAAUUUAUGUGAGUAUUUUCUCUAAGUUUUUUUGCUUAGUAAUAAUGGUAAAUGUAUAAAAGAAAUGUAGUCCUGCUGUUAGCUUUCAGUUUUUUUUUCUUUUUUUUUUCUCCAUUAUUUUUUCAGUAAUGUUGAUACCUGUUCUCCCUGAUUUGUAGACAUAGAAACAUUGCUCUUGUAUUUUAAUAGUUAUUCUAAGAUGGAUCCUCUAAAAACCCUAUGAAAUCCUAGAGAUAUCAGGCAUGGGAAAAAUGAGAUGAACACAUACACAUAAAUUUUAAUUUUUAUAAGUUUUUACUCUUUACCUUCCUAUUUUGCUUCUCAGAUAAUUGUGGGUGUAGGAGAGUGCUUUUCUUCAAGAGCUUCCAGUAAUAAUUCUUGCAAUGAAUUGAGAAGGAAAUGUGUUGAGGUUGGAUUAAUAAAAGAGCUUAAUAUCAUAAUCUUUUUUAGACCAGGCCUUGCUGAUGUUUACUAAAGAAAAUGCUAAAUCAGGAAAAACAUCAAAGGUGUGGGUAAUUUUAGUGUGUUUAGCUUUAGAAUGUUGUUUCCUUUAUUGGAAACUCACUUCUUCCACAGUAUUUCUUAGAAGUUAAUCUGAGUGGGUGAUUUCUCAAAGGGAAUUCCGUAUUUUAAAAAAAUCUAAUGAACAGAAAGAAAAAAAAACAACCAAAAAUAUACAUAUAAACAAAUAAAACCCUACCUCCUGAGAGAGAGCAUGAGAGCUCUGAGGCUGUUGCUGAUGUACCGCUGACAGUGAGGAGGACAAGAGGACGUUUCCGAAUAUAAAACUAAAGUGACUAUGUAAGUUCAUUUAGCUCUUCUUGUGCCUGCUUGCAAAUGUUGUGUAUUCCUAAACUAUUCAUUUAAUACUCUUUUAAUUACAUAGCUAAUCUUAACAUUUUUGAGUGAGUUACUAUGACAUAAUCAUAGAUCUGCAACCAAUUGCAGUGUGCUUUAUAGUUAAAAAUUGCCUUCUGGAUUUACAUACCUAUUACCCAGGGCUAGAUGUAGCAUAUUAUCACGCAGCAAUGUAGGCAGAUGCCUUGAGGAGUGGAGUGCAACAAACAUUAUCUGUUUUAUUAAUUCUGGACCCUGGGAAGACUUGCAGUGAGUGCGAAAAGUGUGCUGGAGGGGAAGGAGAAUAAUUCCUGUUCUUAUCUACUCUUAUGAGGAGAAACUGUGACUUAUGAGUGACAGUUAAUGCUUGUGGAAAGAACGUGUUCCUACCUGUGCAGAGCCACCUGGAAGAUCAGAUCUUAUUUCUUGAAAGGCGAUCAACUUGGAUUAUUUGAAGUAAUAACAAAAUGCUGUAUGUCUUUACAUUAAGGCUAUGAUCCCGCAAGUAGAUCAACAUGAUGGUUCUUUACACCUAUGCUAAGUCCCAGUGAUUCUAAUUAAACUUGAUGAUAAGAUCAAGCUUAAAGUACUCAGUGCUGUUUCUGCAGUGAGCACAGAUGGGCUUCUGUGUUUUUAUUGAAUCCACUGAAGUGAAUUGGGCUUGGUGCAGCAUUUGUAACAUUAAGGCCUUAUUUUCUAUGAAUGCAGAUAAGAGAUCAGUACAAAUAAGGUAACUAUUACCUGUGCAUGGUUCCUAACCUUAUUUGCUUUCUUUCUGUAAAUAGUAAGCACGUUAAUAUAAGCAGUAUCUGAUCUAAAAUAUCCUAGUUCAUUACAAAAGUAAUGCAGGAUUCCAUGAAGAUGCAUUCAAGUGUGACUCAUGUUAUGCUGUUAUGAAGAAGGCUGAUUUUUCUGAAGAAACGUUGGUGAUUAUGACCUACAGUUUUUAUAGGGUGACAUUAGAAUACUGAGGCUUUGGUGGUGAUUGAAGCAUUUUCACACGUGGCUUUUGAGUGUGCAACUUCCGUGAUUCUGUGGAAAAUCUAAUUCCUACAGAGUACUUUGCAAAUACAAAAAUAAAACAACAGGCAAGCACAAAAGCAAUAGCAAAUUUAAACAAAAAGAAAUAGCACAGAGUUUGAGAAUUAUAGUGUAUCUGAAGUCACAGUCUGUGUUUGGAGGAAAGGGAAAUGUAUUGCAAGGAAUGAGUCAGACAUGGGAAUCCCCAGAAACAUCUCCACUGAGUAGAGCAUGUGCUUAAAAAGCUGCUGCAAGGACAUCUCUGCAUGCUUUUAAGAUGGGAUUUGACCUAUUUUUGAAAGAUCUGUUAUUGCCAGUAGUGCUAGCCUCUGCAGAUUUGCUAGCAGCUCCCAUCAGAGUACUCAAAAGGCAGAAGAUUGUGUCUAUUCUCCACUGCAUGAUAGUUAGUUAGGUAGGUACUGCAGAUAGGUACUGCAGAUAGGUAUUGACAGACUGAUCUCAUCAUGUGUUAUGGAAGAUGAUGUGUGGACUCAUGAAUUUUUGAUUAUCCUCAGCCAAGUUUAGUUUGCUGUUCUGAAAUCUACAGCAAAAACUGACAGAGGCAGGAACUGAGAAGAGGUACUGUUAUGGUGCCGUGCCUGGUGAUGUAGUGUCCAUACAUCAAAGCUUUCUAUAGCUCUAAUAUGUUUGUGGGCAAUAUAGACAACUAUGCCAAAUGAUCCUGAAACAAACUUCAUCAGACACUCAGGCUUAGAUGGAAAUGAUUUUUGGUCAUGAUUAACUUGAUGGCUAUUUUUUCUCUCUGUCUUUAUCUCUCCUCAGAGAGAAUAAUCUGCAUGUGUAACUCCAUCAGGGAUUGAAGUCCUAAGUAGUUAUUAACUUGUACUUAGUAUGCAAUGAGUCUGAAUUAAAAGGGUAGAUCUAUCUUCAUCUAAUGAACACUUAAAACAAGAGUGACCAGGCAGGUUUAUAGCUGGCUGUAAUUGUGUUUUCCAUGCUCAUCAAAUAAAAGGUGCCUUUCAUUCUUGUAUGUCCAUAGUACUUGCUUUAAUUGAACUGGCAUCCCCAAGAGAGAGAGCUUAAAAGUUUUCAGGAAAAAGGACAAAUGUGUCAAACAGUAUCAGGGGAAAGAUGCAUUUGUAAAAAACUUUUGUGCUCAUACUAAAUAUGCUGUUGAUUCCCUUCCACUCUGCUCCCUCUUCUCCAUUCUCCCCCUGCCUCCCCUGUCUUUUAUUCUCAUGCUAUUGCAAACAAAUGCACUCCCUUGCAAUAUAGUGUAGUGUCAGAUUGUUUGAUGCACAUUCUUGUGCUUUUGAGCUCAAUGGUUCAGAGAAUUUGUUACAGUGUGUUCUAUAUGUACCCUUAGUAAGUUGUUGUUUAAGCAUCAGUAGAAAGAAAAAGCAUUAUUAUUACUUUAAAUGUUGAUUUCCUUUUUUGAGUAGAAUAGCAAUAGUAGAGGUUGGACAGGGAAAUUAGUCACACGUUCUGUUUGUAAUACCUUUUUAACACAUCUUUGGUGUUCAAAGGCUUUCUCUUAUGUGGAGAAGCUUGUAGGUACAUGAAAAUAUUCCUGAAAAUACCCCAAAUGUAGAGAGGCUUAGGUGAGAUUUUCAUGCUGUAGACUUGCAAAGUUAAUUGUUGAGUUGUUCCUGACUGAGAAGUUAAAAGGUUAGGUGUCUGAAAGAGCAACAACAGUUGAGUUCUUUUACCUUCCAUGAUUUAAUUAGGUAUGUAGAUGCUAGUGAUUUUUUUAAUAGCAUGAUUCUUUUUCCUAUGAUCACUUAAUGUUACAAUUUAGCCUGUUAUACAUUAUAGAAAAGAAAAACCUAGAUAUCUAAAUGACUAAGCUGAAUUCAUUUGCUGUAAGUGGCUUCAAAGUAUCUUGAAAUAUAUUCACUGAAAUCCUGCACAGUCAGUAUGGCCUGUGAUUUGAACCAUAGUAGUUGCAUAACAAAAUAUAUCAAUAGAAAUACAAAAUGCUUGCAAACUGCUUUGCUGCCUAGCAGAUAGUUUUCAGUCAGUGAACUUGUUUUUUCUUUGAAAGAAAAAUGAAGCUAGAAGCUACUGAAGAACAUGUGGAAAAAUGUUUUUGUGUCUUGGUCUGUCUUCUGUAUCUAUGCUGCCAAAGAGCAGUCAAUCAGAGGCAAACUCUGAGGUGAUGCUGAUGGAAGAGAAGGCUGAAGUAUACAAGGCUGGUAUUUGAAAUGUGAUAACCUGAAUUUUCUUUGCACCCUCAGUAAGUUUGCAGAUGACACCAAGCUGGGAGGGAGUGUUGAUCUGCCAGAGGGGAGAAGGGCACUACAGAGGGACCUGGAUAGACUGGAUCAAUGGGCCAAGGUCAAUGGCAUGAGUUUCAAUAGGGCCAAGUGUCAGGUCCUGUAUUUUGGUCACAACAACCCCAGGCAACCCUACAGGCUUGGGGAGGCGUGGCUGGAAAGCUGCCUGAUGGAAAGGGACCUUGGUGUACUGAUGAACAGUCGGCUGAAUAUGAGCCAGCAGUGUGCCCAGGUGGCCAAGAAGGCCAAUGGCAUUCUGGCUUGUAUCAGGAAUGGUGUGGUGAGCAGGACUAGGGAAGUCAUCCUGCCCCUGUACUCGGCAUUGGUGAGGCCUCACCUCGAGUACUGUGUUCAGUUUUGGGCACCUCAGUACAAGAAGGACAUGGAGGUACUGGAGCAGGUCCAGAGAAGGGCAACGAGGCUAGUGAAGGGCUUGGAAAAUCAGCCCUAUGAGGAGAGGCUGAGGGAGCUGGGGCUGUUUAGUCUAGGGAAGGGGAGGCUGAGGGGAGACCUUAUUACUCUCUUCCAGUACCUGAAAGGUGCUUACAGUGAGAGCGGGGUAGGUCUCUUCUCACUGGUGACAGGUGACAAGAUGAGGGGAAAUGGCCUCAAGUUGUGCCAAGUAAGUUUAGGUUGGACGUUAGGAAACACUUCUUUACAGAAAGGGUGGUUAAACACUGGAAUAGGCUCCUCAGGGAGGUGGUUAAGUCACCGUCCCUGGAUGUGUUCAAGAGCCAUUUGAAUGUGGUGCUCAGAGAUAUGAUUUAGCAGAGGACUGUUAGAGUUAGGGUACCACGGUUAGGCUGCAGUUGGACUUCAUGAUCUUUGAGGUCCUUUCCAACCUGAGUAAUUCUAUUAUUCUUUACAUUCAUUGAUCUCUUUGCUUGCUGCAAUGUUGAUGUGUUAGCUUUAAUGAAGACCUCUUUUACAGAGCUGUUAGUAAAGUCUUUAACUAGUGCAAUGCGUUUUUCUGUGUGCUCUCAUUCUUCCCUGGUUGACUUGCUCCUUGAUUUUUGUGUGUCUGUUCCCUUUUUCCUUUUCCCCCACUUAGUGGAAAUAGUGCAGUGAUGGAACAAAGCAUGAAAAUGAAGUAUAAUAAUCUAAAAAUAAAAUAAUAAGGCUUACCUUCCUUUUGUCCUAUAUUUUCUUUUCAUCCCAACAUCCAUCUAGGAGGCCAAUCUUCAGCUACAGUGUCCUUAAAACCUAUUUGAUUGAGGUAGGAGAAUUUAUCUUAAUUUAGCUAAGAUUAAUGUAGUCGCAAUAAUGAUGGAGAUGAUGGGCACAUAUCAGUUAUGUCCUAAGUAUUUUGGAACCAUGACAGAAUAUUGUAUGCCAGAAGUAUAAAAGUACCUUAAGAGUUGCAUAAGCAGCAUGAUGUUUAUUUUUUUUAUUAAUCAUGAAAGAUAUUAGUAACAAUUAUUAAAAGAUACCAACUUGUAUAGACAUUAAAAGAAUGCAUUUUGCCAUGGUCCUAAACACAAUGGUAUGUCUAGUGGCUAUUUACACCAGCCAUGCAUGUAGAAGCUGGUUUAUCAUCAGAAAAGUGCAAUAAUAGACAGGGUAGCAAAGGAACAGUAAAGCUGUAUACCGUAUUAUGAGACAUGUCGAGUUUAGAUACAGCAGACAAUAUGUUACAACUUGGUUUUGUAAUAUUCAGGUUAUCAAAACAUACUUUGAAACUGUGAAUAUUUAGUAUAAUCAAUAGAAAUCAUUUGAAAGAAAAAGGUGAAGCAGAGGUCAGUUGGGGGUUGCCAUUCACGGGCUGCCCUUAACUGUUUAUUGCUUCCCCUUUUCUCAGCAAAUCCUCUAUUUAAGAAGGAUUGUAAGGCCUGUGUAAUCAUUGAGGAUUUACUUCCUUUGGUGCCACAGAGCUGCAUUCAGCAGCAAUGCUACUGUUUCUUCUUUUUUUUUUUAAAUGUACACGACACUUCUAAAAAGAUGAAUGUUACCAGGAAGUGUUUUUGAUAGCAACAGUUAUAAAUUGUUUGAAAUUUGAAAUGUAGAUAGUCUUAUGUUCAAAUUCUGCCCUUAUGCUGACAAAAGACGCAGUAGUUCUGCAGAAUCUUAGGUGCAGAUGAUGUAAAUGGGAAUUCUGGCUAAUGAGGUCAAGAGUUUUUUAUUUUUUUAACAUGUGCUGGUACAAAAUCUUCUUGAUUCUCAGUUCUGUUUUAAAAUAUAGAGGAAGUCUAAAUAUUUAAUAGUUAGGGUGAAGGCUAAGUCACCACUUCCUUCACUGUCUGUGUUGAACAGAGAACAUAAUGCUUCAAGAAAACUGCAUGAUAUUUCUUACUGCUUAAUGUUCCUGGAAAAUAUGUGGUGUAGAUUGAUAGUUCAAAUAUUAAUUUCAGUUAUCUAAAGUGCUUGAGAAUUUCAGUUUACCCCACACUGUGACCACUCUUUAUUUUAAUGUAGGUAGAAUACUGAAAAGUGCUUAUUCAUAUACAGCUUUCUUACUUGCAUAAUCCGUAAGGACACAGUAUUUCCAAGUAGCUCUAGUAAAAAGGGGGAAAAAAUAAAUUUGCUAAUUGAAAAUUUGUUAUAAAUGAAAAAUGGAAUUUAAAGAAUAUUUUCUGUAUCAAUGGAAAUUUUAAUAUUAAAUUGCUCCAUCUAGUGGCAAACUUCUGAAGCUGAUAGUUUUCCUUCAGUGAUUAUUAUCCCUUAGUGAUUAUUACUCCUUUUAAGGAUUUAAGAUAAAAUUAUGCUACUUUCCCCUUGGAAGUUCUUUGCCAAGGGAACUCUGUAUGUAUCAAGAUACAAGCCCUGAUUUUUUCUUCCAGCGAGUUCUGAGGAAUUUCACUUUUUACUUCAAUGAAAGCAAGCAUAAUGUGCCCAAGUGUGAGAACUGCAUUUGAGUAGCUGGUUUGAGUUAUUCUUGGGACUGGGAGGGCAAAGGGAAGAGGUGGAUUGCAUCAAUAAUUUAUUCAAAAAAGAUGAAGUCUGAUUCCUUGGCAAAUAAUUAAAAUACACAAUGAAUCAUAAUACUGAGUACGGUGUACUCAGAUGCAUCUUGCAUUCUAAAAUGAGAUAAGUUUCUGUUGCAGGAUGUUUCAGUCAAAUCCUAACUGGCUUUGAUAUUGCAUUUUUUAUGAUAGUAGUGAACUAAUCAAAUGAUUUGUUGAUGUUGAUAUCAUUUGUCAGCAAUUGGAAUUCUUCUGCCAAUCAAAGAGAAAACCUGUGUGUUUCCUAGUCAUAGGAGAAUGGGGAGAGAAUUCAAAAGGAAAAUGACCAAGGAAAGGCUCUCUGAUGCCUUCUUCCUUUGCAUGCCUUGAAAAGACACAUUCAGACAGAACAGAAGGGAGCUCUUGAGGAGCUUGUGUAUGUAUUUCCCCCUACCCACUGCUGUGAUCUCUUAUGCAGCUGGCUUUAAAGAGAACUCAUGGACAUAUGAAUGCACGAUCAUAGAACAAAGAAUCAGUUUGAGAGUAGUUGCACAGUAUUGUUUUUCUGUGUCUGAAUGGAGCACAAAACUGUGCAGCCAGCAGCUCAAGUCUGGCUGCGAAGUAAAAAUAUUUAAAAAUGAAAAGGAAGAAGAUGGGAAAGCACUGAAAUAGUUUAAAACCAUAUUUUAAGUUUUAGAUUAAUAAUAAUAAUAAAAAAGUCUGUGCUUGAGAAUGUAAUGGAUGCAUUGAACUUGCUGGCACCCCAUCCUUUAAUUUUCUCAUUCAUUUUUCAGUUUUGGUUAAUCUGCCACAUAAAUAAUGUAUACAUCUUUAAUUUCCUGGUAGAUUAAUUCUCAUUUCUCAGUCCAAGUCUGAAUACUCCUUUUAGAUUAAGCAACUGUUCUCAACACCAGAAGAGUUGCAAUUUAUUCCAGGACUGUUCUGUUAUUCAAGUGAAUAAUGGAACACAAACUUUGCAGUGCACUUUCCCAGACUUCCUCUUCCCAAUUAGUUUGGUCACUUAAAAUUGCAGAUCACUGUUCCUAUCUUCCUUACCCAGGCAAAUGAACCCAUUAAAUAUCACAAUUGCAUAACUUCCCUACAUACUAACUAAAGUUUCCUUGCAAUGUUCGUUUUAGCUUCAGCUGUAUACUUUUGGUUGAACUUGCAGUCUUUGAAAUAUAAGGCCACACAUCUUGAUAAUAGUGCAUGAGCAAGUAAUUAACGUUGCUAUGAAUUGGAAUGACACUUUUUAUCUUUUGUAGUUCUUACAUAGCUGAGGUCUUCCUGGGCAAUAAAGUCAAUUAGGUGUACCCCAUCUCUCCUCAUUUCUAGUGGCUGAGGGAUUCAGGGGUACUCUUUAUGAACUGUAAUUCUUGAAGAUAGGCUGUAUCAGAGUUGCUGAAACUGAGUUUCUUUCCCUGGUACUUGCAUCUAUGUAGUGCUGACAGAAAACUGAGCAAUAAGCUUUGGCCUUUGCUCCUCCUGUUGAGCCGGGGGAACAGACAUAGUGGUGAUUCUGAUGGUUUUCAAGGGUCAGGGAAGGG
rnacentral:lncRNA from 1 species